CCCUUAGAUGUUCUGGGCCGCACGCGCGCUACACUGUUCGACGCAGCGAGUCUUAACCUUGACCGAAAGGUUUGGGUAAUCUUCAGCAAAGUCGAACGUGAUGGGGAUCGAUCAUUGCAAUUAUUGAUCGUGAACGAGGAAUUCCUAGUAAGUGCAAGUCAUCAGCUUGCUCCGAUUACGUCCCUGCCCUUUGUACACACCGCCCGUCGCUACUACCGAUUGAAUGGUUUAGUGAGAUCUCUGGAUUGACGCUGGCUAGGGGGCGACCCUUGGCCAGACUGUUGAGAAACUGCUCAAACUUGAUCAUUUAGAGGAAGUAAAAGUCGUAACA
rnacentral:rRNA from 1 species